rnacentral:tRNA from 1 species
AAUUCAGUGGUAGAAUGUUUGCUUCCCAAGCAAAAUGUCGCGGGUUCGAUCCCCGUC